rnacentral:rRNA from 1 species
GAUGAACGCUAGCUACAGGCUUAACACAUGCAAGUCGAGGGGAAACGACAUCGAAAGCUUGCUUUGGUGGGCGUCGACCGGCGCACGGGUGAGUAACGCGUAUCCAACCUGCCCACACUUGGGGAUAACCUUGCGAAAGUAAGACUAAUACCCAAUGACGUCUCUAGAAGACAUCUGAAAGGGAUUAAAGAUUUAUCGGUGAUGGAUGGGGAUGCGUCUGAUUAGCUUGUUGGCGGGUAACGGCCCACCAAGGCAACGAUCAGUAGGGGUUCUGAGAGGAAGGUCCCCCACAUUGGAACUGAGACACGGUCCAAACUCUUACGGGAGGCAGCAGUGAGGAAUAUUGGUCAAUGGGCGAGAGCCUGAACCAGCCAAGUAGCGUGCAGGAUGACGGCCCUAUGGGUUGUAAACUGCUUUUAUAAGGGAAUAAAGUGAGCCUCGUGAGGCUUUUUGCAUGUACCUUAUGAAUAAGGACCGGCUAAUUCCGUG